GACGAACGCUGGCGGCGUGCUUAACACAUGCAAGUCGAACGGUGAAGCUCCAGCUUGCUGGAGUGGAUCAGUGGCGAACGGGUGAGUAACACGUGAGCAACCUGCCCCUGACUCUGGAAUAAGCGCUGGAAACGGCGUCUAAUACUGGAUACGAGAAGGGUCCGCAUGGGCACUUUCUGUAAAGUUUUUCGGUUGGGGAUGGGCUCGCGGCCUAUCAGCUUGUUGGUGAGGUAAUGGCGCACCAAGGCGACGACGGGUAGCCGGCCUGAGAGGGCGACCGGCCACACUGGGACUGAGACACGGCCCAGACUCCUACGGGAGGCAGCAGUGGGGAAUAUUGCACAAUGGGCGAAAGCCUGAUGCAGCGACGCCGCGUGAGGGAUGACGGCCUUCGGGUUGUAAACCUCUUUCAGCAGGGAAGAAGCGAAAGUGACGGUACCUGCAGAAGAAGCACCGGCUAACUACGUG
rnacentral:rRNA from 1 species